UCUUCAUGUUUUUUUUUUGCAUUUUUCUUAAGGACAUUGUAAUUACUUAUCUACCCUUGAUUUUUGGAUGGUGACACAUGUCUACCUAUGUCACGUGUGUCCUUUCCUCCUCAUCCUUGUGCGUUCUAUCUUUUUCGUUGUUCUUUGUCUUCUGUCUGUAUCGAAAUGGCGCUCAUCAAUCAAUCUCCUCUUCAAACCCCUUCUCUCUCAAUCUCUUUGUUAAAUCUUAUCCAAGAUAUGAAGUAUCUCAAUUAUUUUUUGAACUUCAAAGGUCAUUCGUGUGUUUUUCUUCGUUGAUCUUUCUCUCGGUUUCUAAAUUUUCUAGGUUUAGGUAUUUUACAAUUCGAUUUUAGGUAUUUACAAUUCAAUUUUUUUGGGCUUUUUUGGUGUUCAGAUUCUUAUAUUCUAUCAAUUUUUUAAUUUUAGUAGGUCUUGGUAUUUAAAAUUCAAUUUUUAAGGGUUUUUGGUGUUUUUAAUUCCUACACGUUCUGAAUUUUCUUAGAUUAGGUAUUUAAAUUUUGAUAUUUAGGGGUUUUCAAAUUCUGAAUUUUCUAGAUCUAAGUAUUUAAAAUUUGAUUUUAGGGGUUUUACUAUCUUAAUGAUGUGUUCUACUUCGAAGGAAUUUCAGGUAUUUUUCUUCGUUUAUCUUCUCUUAAUUUCUGAAUUUUCUAGGUCUAGGUAUGUAAAAUUCGUUUUUUUAGGGUUUUUGUUUCAGAUUCUUAUAUUAUAUUAAUUUCUAAAUUUUUCGUAGGUCUUGGUAUUUAAAAUUCGAUUUUAGGGCCUUUUUGUGUUUUCCUAUCUUCUCUCGAUUUCUGAAAUUUAAGGGUUUUAAUUGUAGUAAUUUAAUCAAUAAAGAAAUUUUAUUAUUAUGAACCAUUGGUUUUCUCCCCUCUCUCCUUUGCUUGUUUAGGUUAUCAUAAUCUUUUCUGGAUGUUUUAGUUUUGGAGCUAAUUUAUGAAAAUGCUAACUUACGGGUAAAUUUUGGUUAAUAUUUAUUAAAUUUAAACAUGCCCACCUUGUGUUUGAUGAAAUGCAUGUUGGAGAUGGUUAAUGUAUUAUAUAUAUUGUUAGUCAAAGCAUAGACUUUUGAAGUUGGCUUUAUGCCUAAAUUUUUGUUCCUACAUUCUUUCACAAGGAAAAGCGAAACAUUGUUGGCCUAACACUCUACAUAACUAUAUAGAAGUGAUUUCCAAGAGAAAUUUGAAUCGAAUAAGAUGGUUUGAUUCCACUAGACUAUUCAACAAAAUGAUUUAUGCUCAUACUUUAAUGUUCCAUUAGCCUUUUCAGUAUUUUGUAAUGCUUAUUAGAUGUUCGACAUAUUCUUAUUUGUGUCAGUUGUCCUGGUAAGUUCUCAGCCUAGAUAAUCUGGGUGAUAUUGAAGUUAUUGUUAGAAUGAAGGCAUUGACAUCAUCCUUAAUUUGUCCAUAAUCUGAAUCUAAUAUGCAAUCCCAAGUUGUCAUUCCUUUCUUCAAACUGAUGCCCCGCACUCUCACUCCCUCUCCAUGUCUUUUUAUUUUUCAAAUUGCCAUGGCCUCUGAAAUACUUGCCUCCAUCAUAGGGACUGAUGAGGUCUUGUGAAUGACGUACAUUGCUCGUGUCUGCUUAUUACAUGGGAAGUGGUUUGCGAAUCUAAAACAAUUCGGAUAAGAUGUUACUUGAGGAGCAAGAGUGCCUAGAAAAGUUGAUCUGGAAAACUGCUGCAGAGCUCAACUAUAUAGGUCAUUUAUGGUUUAGAGGCGAAGCUGGAAGCCAUCUGUUCUGCAAUAGGAGAGAGACCGGUGUAUGGCAUGUAAGGGAUUAGUCUGAUAUGUUUUGUGUGAUACGGUGUUGCAUGCAUGAAUGGAGUGGCCAAAUUAUGUUGCAUAUGAUCCGAGUCCAUUAAUUCUUGUGCAUGUAUUUUUCUUUAAAGUCGAUUCUGGCAUUGUGAAUAACCACCCUUGAUCAUACUGUCUGGAGCUUGAUGAACAAUUGAACACUCACUAGUGAUAUCAUAAUUUUCUCUA